UACGUAGGGGGCAAGCGUUGUCCGGAUUUAUUGGGCGUAAAGAGCGUGUAGGCGGUUUGAUAGGUCCGUUGUGAAAACUCGGGGCUCAACUCCGAGCUUGCAUUCGAUACGGGCAGGCUAGAGUUCGGUAGGGGAGACUGGAAUUCCUGGUGUAGCGGUGAAAUGCGCAGAUAUCAGGAGGAACACCGGUGGCGAAGGCGGGUCUCUGGGCCGAUACUGACGCUGAGGAGCGAAAGCGUGGGGGAGCGAACAGG
rnacentral:rRNA from 1 species